rnacentral:ncRNA from 2 species
AGUAGGGGUAGAGGUGCAAUAACCAUUAGUAGGUGCAUAGAGAAGUAUGAGCUUCCUCGAAAUGCAUUGAAAGGGGAAAUUGCCGAAGUGGCAGAAACCUCAUAAUUCUGAUCACUGGUUCUGGUAUUUAAAAGAUACAGAACUGUCAUAUAGGUAACUAUAUGGAGGGCUAUCUUACGG